GACGAACGCUGGCGGCGUGCUUAACACAUGCAAGUCGAACGGUGAAGGUGGGAGCUUGCUCCUGCUGGAUCAGUGGCGAACGGGUGAGUAACACGUGAGUAACCUGCCCUUGACUCUGGGAUAAGCGUUGGAAACGACGUCUAAUACCGGAUACGAGCUUCAGCCGCAUGGCUAGGAGUUGGAAAGAUUCUUCGGUUAAGGAUGGACUCGCGGCCUAUCAGCUUGUUGGUGAGGUAAUGGCUCACCAAGGCGACGACGGGUAACCGGCCUGAGAGGGUGGCCGGCCACACGGGGACUGAGACACGGCCCAGACUCCUACGGGAGGCAGCAGUGGGGCAUAUUGCACAAUGGGCGCGAGCCUGAUGCAGCAACGCCGCGUGAGGGACGACGGCCUUCGGGUUGUAAACCUCUUUUAGCAGGGAAGAAGCGCAAGUGACGGUACCUGCAGAAAAAGCACCGGCUAACUACGUGCCAGCCGCCGCGGUAA
rnacentral:rRNA from 1 species